CCUACGGGUGGCAGCAGUGAGGAAUAUUGGUCAAUGGGCGUAAGCCUGAACCAGCCAAGUCGCGUGAGGGAUGAAGGUUCUAUGGAUCGUAAACUUCUUUUAUAAGGGAAUAAAGUGCGGGACGAGUCCCGUUUUGUAUGUACCCUAUGAAUAAGGAUGGGCUCACUCCGUGCCAGCAGCCGCGGUAAUACGGGGGAUCCGUGCGUUAUCCGGAGUUAUUGGGUUUAAAGGGUGCGUAGGGGGCCUUUACGUCAGCGGUGAAAGGUUUGGGGUGAACCAUGGAAGUGGCUUUGAAAAUGGGAGGCUUGAGUGUGUGUGAGGGAGGCGGAAUGCGUGGGGUAGCGGUGAGAUG
rnacentral:rRNA from 1 species